rnacentral:rRNA from 1 species
UUUCGCAAUGCCCGAAAGGGUGACGAAGCGACGCCGCGUGAGUGAGGAAGGCCUUCGGGUUGUAAAGCUCUGUCAGGAGUUAAGAAAUAUAAGUGUGUUAAUACCACAUUUAUUUGACGAAGGCUCCAAAGGAAGCCACGGCUAACUCUGUGCCAGCAGCCGCGGUAAUACAGAGGUGGCAAGCGUUGUUCGGAAUUAUUGGGCGUAAAGAGCACGUAGGUGGGUUUGUAAGUCAGAUGUGAAAGCCUUCUGUUCAACGGAAGAAUUGCACCUGAAACUGCGAGUCUUGAGUGUAGGAGGGGAGAAUGGAACUUCUGGUGGAGCGGUGAAAUGCGUAGAUAUCAGAAGGAACGCCGGCGGCGAAAGCGAUUCUCUGGCCUAUUACUGACACUCAGUGUGCGAAAGCUAGGGGAGCAAACGGGAUUAGAUACCCCGGUAGUCCUAGCUGUAAACGAUGGGCACUAAGUAGAGGGGUUUUA